UCCCGACGCUCCAAGUCGCAGCCACAAUUAUUGGGUCUAAAACAUUCGUAGCUUGUAUUGUAAGUUCUUUGUGAAAUCCGACAUCUUAAGUGUCGGGCGUGCAAAGAAUACUGCUCUACUUGAGACCGGAAGAUGUAAGGAGUACGAAUGAGGUAGUAGUAAAAUACGUUAAUCUCAUUUGGACUAACAAUAGCGAAGGCACCUUACAAGUACGGAUCUGACAGUGAGGAAUGAAGGCUAGGGUCGCGAAAGG
rnacentral:rRNA from 1 species